rnacentral:rRNA from 1 species
UACGUAGGUGGCGAGCGUUGUCCGGAUUUACUGGGCGUAAAGGGAGCGUAGGCGGACUUUUAAGUGAGAUGUGAAAUACUCGGGCUCAACUUGAGUGCUGCAUUUCAAACUGGAAGUCUAGAGUGCAGGAGAGGAGAAUGGAAUUCCUAGUGUAGCGGUGAAAUGCGUAGAGAUUAGGAAGAACACCAGUGGCGAAGGCGAUUCUCUGGACUGUAACUGACGCUGAGGCUCGGAAGCGUGGGGAGCAAACAGG